GAUGAACGCUGGCUACAGGCUUAACACAUGCAAGUCGAGGGGAAACGACGGGGAAGCUUGCUUCCCCGGGCGUCGACCGGCGCACGGGUGAGUAACGCGUAUCCAACCUGCCUCUGACUGAGGGAUAACCCGUCGAAAGUCGGCCUAAUACCUCAUGGCAUCGUCUGCGGGCAUCCAACGACGAUUAAAGAUUUCAUCGGUCAGAGAUGGGGAUGCGUCUGAUUAGCUUGUUGGCGGGGUAACGGCCCACCAAGGCGACGAUCAGUAGGGGUUCUGAGAGGAAGGUCCCCCACAUUGGAACUGAGACACGGUCCAAACUCCUACGGGAGGCAGCAGUGAGGAAUAUUGGUCAAUGGGCGAGAGCCUGAACCAGCCAAGUAGCGUGCAGGAUGACGGCCCUAUGGAUUGUAAACUGCUUUUAUGCGGGGAUAAAGUGAGGGACGUGUCCUUCAUUGCAGGUACCGCAUGAAUAAGGACCGGCUAAUUCCGUG
rnacentral:rRNA from 1 species